UCAGCGGACAUGCUUGCUUAUUCCUGUAACAUAUCAUUACUCUAUCUGCUUAGCCUUUCCAACUUUUAAGAUUUGAUCCAUUCUUUAGAAGUUCGUACAGAUCUAGAAGUAUUUUGUUUUGUUGGUCAAAUCCAUUGCCUGUCUGUCCUUAUUUAUUUUAUUGUUCGAACAAGAUAUCAGAUCACCUACAUUCAUUAUUCUUGAUUACAGUCUCAUACUAAAGUAGUCUAAAAUGGUCUGAAUAGUUGUAGUAAUUCAUAAAUAUUUUCAGUGUAGUUCUUAUUUGGUUUCUAGGCAUAGAAUUUACUUCAAAAUUUUGAUCUUUAUUUGGUUAGUAAGGCUCUAGAAAAAAACAGACCAAUGAUAUAUAUACAAACAAACACAAUAGGAGUUAACUGGUACCUAGCUUUUGAAACCUCUGAUAUAUACAAAAUAUUAUUUGAGUAGAAUAGGAGAGAUGCAAUCUUAUGGAUAUUUCCGCAUUUGUAAGAAACUUUCCAGCUUGGCAAGAGGGCUUAACUAGACAUGUGUAGGACUCAGCCAUGCUGCCUUCCAAAUGAUUAGUCAUUGGUGUUUUCUUAUGUUCCUGUUAGUCCAAGUGCAUCAGAUAAGUAGACUGUUAUGUUGAAAAAAGGAAAGAGACUACUCUUUUGUUACUUACAGUACAGAUAUAUGCUAUAACAUAUUACCUUUAUGCUCUCGAUUUCAGUAUAUGCCUGCGAACAAGUGAGUCAGUAAUAUCAUUGCCUAAGAAUUACUUUGUUUGCCAUUUUAAUCGUUACAUCAGAGAGCAAUGGAUAUAGAAGAAAUAUGUAAACAGUUGUCCCUAGAAGAAAUAUGCAACAACUUAUUUAGGUUACUUAAUUAAUAACGCCUCUAUAUCAUUACAUACACAUACUGAAUGUGCCUUUUGAGAGUGAGCUUCUGUCAGUACCUCACACUUAUCUUAUAUGCCAUUCCAACUAUCUGUUGCAGUAGAGAGCAAGGGACAUAUAAGAAAUCUCCAGGCAGCUUCGCUUAGAUGCAUCAUCUUCUGCUAGGACCUAGGAGUCAGCUUGAAGAAUGACCUUCUCAGGAGACUGCAACUGACAUGCUGGAUGGUGAAUAACCAAAUUUGUGGACAAAGACAAAGAGUUCAUCGCAAGGGGUGGUGUUUAGGAUAUAUAUACACAACAGAGGAAACUUUCUUUUAUACAGAACCAAAUUAUAUGGUGUAAUUGACCACUAUUUCUAAGAAAUGUUCAUCAUGUAUUAAGUACAUUUUAUUGUGUCACUUUUUUUGAGGGGUAGCUUUAUUCAUCAAACACCACAAAGUGUGCAAUAGAGUUCAUCAAACCAAGCUUUAUUGUGUCACCUAUGU